CCCUUAGAUGUUCUGGGCCGCACGCGCGCUACACUGACGGAUUCAACGAGCUUACAACCUUGGCCGAAAGGUCUGGGUAAUCUCCAAAAUCCGUCGUGAUGGGGAUAGAUUAUUGCAAUUAUUAAUCUUCAACGAGGAAUGCCUAGUAAGCGCAAGUCAUCAGCUUGCGUUGAUUACGUCCCUGCCCUUUGUACACACCGCCCGUCGCUCCUACCGAUUGAAUGGUCCGGUGAAGCGUUUGGACUAUGGUUUUCUGAUGGUCCGCCGUUGGAUUACCGUGGGAAGUUCGUUAAACCUUAUCAUUUAGAGGAAGGAGAAGUCGUAACAA
rnacentral:rRNA from 1 species